CCUGGCAGGUGCACCUUGCUUCCUUCAGGUGGUGGCGGCGGCAGUGAGAAGCUAGCGGUUAGCUAACUUUACUCAGUUAGCAGCUACCCUGUCAUGAGAGCACAGAGGAAGGCAGCCAUUAUAGCCUAAGACUACUUUAUUGUGUAAAAGGAAGAGACAAAUUCAAUGAGAAGUACAGGCAGGAAGAAGGGAGGGACUCUGCCUCCAAUGAGGAUCACAACUAGCAAAUGCUAGUGCCACCUACUGGCUGGACAUAUUAGAGCAACAUUUCCACACUUACCCCUGCUGAGUAAAAGUGGUGAAUCUCUUCUAUCAUGGGGAGAGCAACUUCUACCCCAGCUUGCAAAAACACAGUCUCCAAGGCUCCUGUAGUGGAUUAAAAGCCUUUUGUCUCGGAGCAAGCUCACGUGAGGGGAAGAAAACUGCCAAAAACUGCCAAAUCAAAGAAAACUGCCAAAAACUGCCAAAUCAUCCCAACUGAGCUUUCUGGUGGUGCUCCCUCCAGACAGUAUUUACUUCAUCAAAAUAAGUAUCAACAAUCAAAAAUAUUUGUUAGAGAGAAAAGGCUAGGCUGGAGGUGCACAGGAGGACAUAUGGCCAUGGACGUUGACUGCAGGAAAAAUAACUCUGCAGAUCCUUGAGAGACAGGACAGCAGGAAGCUUGAAUUCUCAUCUGGAGUUUGGCAAUGGAGGCAUACAAGGAUGCAUGUUUGGUGAAAUCAAUUGGAGGGUCCAACUUCAACCGCAAACUACUCGAAAUGAUCCUAAACAAACCAGGACUGAAAUAUAAACCCGUUGUUAACCAGGUGACAUGUGACUGCCAUUUGUGGAUUUUGUUCAUGCAAGCUCUUGCAUAAAGCUUAUUUAUUAUGGAUCUGGUCUGAGAACUGUUGCAUGACCAAGCAGGAAAGUCGUUGACCAGAAAAAGCUGCUUGAAGCUAUAAGGAUGCAAACGCGCAGCCGCAAUAAGAUACGUUGUUCAAUAUUUACCCCCCCUCCCCUUGGGUGGUUGUGUAAUCACUUCAACAUGUGCAGUACUUUUGUCUGAGCAUGUGAUAUUGAUCAAACUAAAUGUCAGGAGCGUGCAGUCCUGUGAUGUGUGUUAGUUGGUUGUGUAAGCAGAUGCGAUGUGUUGAAAAUACAAUGUGCACAACUGCUAUCUUCCAGUACCAUAGAGACUAA